GCGUAAUUCACGUAUACAGUCUCUCAAGUUCUCUAGCGCUCCCUGGUUAUUGUCCAAACUAGUAUUUGUUUUGCAGGAGAAGAGAGCUUGUCUUGUUUUCGCUACUCGUUACGGGUUUUAGGUCAAUAAUAAUAAAUAAAAUUCAAGAGAUUCCUAAGUGAUAUUUUACAUGACCGUAUAGGUUUUAUAAAGGAUAUAAAUGAUGCCAAGUGGGCUUGCAUCCUUAAUAAAACAGAACAACUCCUGCCAAGUUCAGCAAACAUAAAAUAUAAAACAACAAAAAUAUGCUAGUGAAGGAAAAAAAA